GAUCAUGGCUCAGGAUGAACGCUGGCGGCGUGCCUAACACAUGCAAGUCGAACGAAGCUUGACGGAUGAUUUCUUCGGAAUGAAACCUGAUAUGACUUAGUGGCGGACGGGUGAGUAACACGUGAGCAACCUGCCUUUCAGAGGGGGAUAACGGCUGGAAACGGUCGCUAAUACCGCAUGAUGUGUUCGGAUGGCAUCAUCUGAACAUCAAAGAUUUAUCG
rnacentral:rRNA from 1 species